rnacentral:tRNA from 1 species
GAGGGUAUAUCUCAGUGGUAGAGUGUAUGCUUAGCAUGCAUGAGGUCCUGGGUUCAAUCUCCAGUAACUCCA